ACGAACGCUGGCGGCAGGCUUAACACAUGCAAGUCGAGCGCAAUACUAUCUUCGGAUAGUGGAGAGUGGUGGACGGGUGAGUAACGCGUGGGAACCUAUUUUUUGGUUUGGAAUAACUUUGGGAAACCGAAGCUAAUAUUGGAUACGCCCCGUAAGGGGGAAAGAUUUAUUGCCGAAGGAUGGGCCCGCGUUGGAUUAGGUAGUUGGUAGGGUAAUGGCCUAUCAAGCCUACGAUCCAUAGCUGUUCUGAGAGGAAGAUCAGCCACACUGGGACUGAGACACGGCCUAGACUCCUAUGGGAGGUAGCAGUGGGGAAUCUUGGACAAUGGGGGAAAUUUUGAUCCAGCCAUGCCGCGUGAAUGAAGAAGGCCUUAGGGUUGUAAAGUUCUUUUAGUGGGGAAGAUAAUGACGGUACCCACAGAAAAAGCCCCGGCUAACUCCGU
rnacentral:rRNA from 1 species